UACGUAGGGGGCGAGCGUUGUCCGGAAUGACUGGGCGUAAAGGGCGUGUAGGCGGUCUAUUAAGUCUGGAGUGAAAGUCCUGCUUUCAAGGUGGGAAUUGCUAUGGAGACUGGCUGACUUGAGCGCGGAAGAGGUAAGUGGAAUUCCCAGUGUAGCGGUGAAAUGCGUAGAGAUUGGGAGGAACACCAGUGGCGAAGGCGACUUACGGGGCCGUAACUGACGCUGAGGCGCGAAAGCGUGGGGAGCGAAC
rnacentral:rRNA from 1 species